AGAGUUUGAUCAUGGCUCAGGACGAACGCUGGCGGCGUGCUUAACACAUGCAAGUGGAGCGACGAACCGGGCUUCGGCCCGGGGCAAAGCCGCGAACGGGUGAGUAUCACGUGGGUAACCUGCCCCGAUGACCGGGACAACCCGAGGAAACUCGGGCUAAUACCGGAUGUGCUCUCCAUCCACCAGGGUGGAGAACAAAGGAAGCUUCGGCCUCCGCAUUGGGAUGGGCCCGCGGCCCAUUAGCUUGUUGGUGAGGUAAAGGCUCACCAAGGCGACGAUGGGUAGCUGGUCUGAGAGGACGAUCAGCCACACUGGGACUGAGACACGGCCCAGACUCCUACGGGAGGCAGCAGUGGGGAAUCUUGCGCAAUGCGCGAAAGCGUGACGCAGCAACGCCGCGUGAGGGAAGAAGGCCUUCGGGUUGUAAACCUCUUUCAGGAGGGACGAAGGUUCAGGCGCGAAUAGCGUCCUGGACUGACGGUACCUCCAGAAGAAGCCCCGGCUAACUACGUGCCAGCAGCCGCGGUAAUACGUAGGGGGCUAGCGUUGUCCGGAAUCAUUGGGCGUAAAGAGCGUGUAGGCGACCCGGUAAGUCCGCUGUAAAAGUCAAAGGCUCAACCUUUGAAUGUCAGUGGAUACUGCCAGGCUAGAGUCCGGAAGAGGCGAGUGGAACUCCUGGUGUAGCGGUGGAAUGCGCAGAUAUCAGGAAGAACACCAACGGCGAAGGCAGCUCGCUGGGACGGUACUGACGCUGAGACGCGAAAGCGUGGGGAGCAAACAGGAUUAGAUACCCUAGUAGUCC
rnacentral:rRNA from 1 species